UGGAUAUUGCUUAGCUGAUGUGCACCACCUC
rnacentral:piRNA from 1 species